AUGAACGCUAGCGGCAGGCUUAACACAUGCAAGUCGAGGGACAACACGGGUAGCAAUACCUGGUGGCGACCGGCGCAAGGGUGCGUAACGCGUGAGCAACAUGCCCUAUACAGGGGGAUAAUCCAGGGAAACUUGGUCUAAUAUCCCAUAGUAUUUAGAGGUGGCAUCACCACUAAAUUAAAGCUUCGGUGGUAUAGGAUUGGCUCGCGUGACAUUAGCUGGAUGGUGGGGUAACGGCUCACCAUGGCGAUGAUGUCUAGGGGUUCUGAGAGGAAGACCCCCCACACUGGGACUGAGACACGGCCCAGACUCCUACGGGAGGCAGCAGUGAGGAAUAUUGGACAAUGGAUGGAAAUCUGAUCCAGCCAUGCCGCGUGCAGGAAGACGGCCCUAUGGGUUGUAAACUGCUUUUAUAUGGGAGCAAUAAGGUUUACGCGUAGACCGAUGAGAGUACCAUAUGAAUAAGCAUCGGCUAACUCCGUG
rnacentral:rRNA from 1 species